GCCGAGGUAGCUCAGUGGCAGAGCAAAGGACUCAUAAGCCUUCGGUCGAGAGUUCAAAUCUCUCCCUCGGCA
rnacentral:tRNA from 1 species